AGGGGUGUAGCUCAGCUGGUAGAGCACCGGUCUCCAAAACCGGUGGUCGGGGGUUCGAGUCCCUCCGCCCCUGCCA
rnacentral:tRNA from 3 species